CGUAGGGUGCGAGCGUUAAUCGGAAUUACUGGGUGUAAAGCGUGCGCAGGCGGUUUGUUAAGAUAGGCGUGAAAUCCCCGGGCUCAACCUGGGAACUGCGCUUAUGACUGGCAAGCUAGAGUACGGCAGAGGGGGGUGGAAUUCCACGUGUAGCAGUGAAAUGCGUAGAGAUGUGGAGGAACACCAAUGGCGAAGGCAGCCCCCUGGGUCGAUACUGACGCUCAUGCACGAAAGCGUGGGUAGCAAACAGGAUUAGAUACCCUGGUAGUCCACGCCCUAAACGAUGUCAACUAGGUGUUGGGAGGGUAAAACCUUUUAGUACCGGAGCUAACGCGUGAAGUUGACCGCCUGGGGAGUACGGCCGCAAGGUUA
rnacentral:rRNA from 1 species